rnacentral:rRNA from 1 species
AAAUUGAAGAGUUUGAUCAUGGCUCAGAUUGAACGCUGGCGGCAGGCCUAACACAUGCAAGUCGAACGGUAACAGGAAGCAGCUUGCUGCUUUGCUGACGAGUGGCGGACGGGUGAGUAAUGUCUGGGAAACUGCCUGAUGGAGGGGGAUAACUACUGGAAACGGUGGCUAAUACCGCAUGACGUCGCAAGACCAAAGAGGGGGACCUUCGGGCCUCUUGCCAUCAGAUGUGCCCAGAUGGGAUUAG